GGGUGAUUUUGGUAGGUUAUUUGGCCGAUUAUCAGUUGUCUGUUAUGGAAAUGAUUUAAAUAUAAUUAAGAUUAUUCUUAUGAUAUCUUGUUAUAUGUUCAGAAUUUAUCUGACCUUGGGGAUGUUGUGUUUACUUGGUUAGGUGUAAGAGGGUAGUCUCUGAUCCAGUAGGACUUGAGAUGCCCGCCAUGGCUCUGCCC
rnacentral:lncRNA from 1 species